rnacentral:rRNA from 1 species
AGUGAGCGCUGGCGGUAGGCCUAACACAUGCAAGUCGAACGGCAGCACAGUAAGAGCUUGCUCUUACGGGUGGCGAGUGGCGGACGGGCGAGGAAUACAUCGGAAUCUACUUUUUCGUGGGGGAUAACGUAGGGAAACUUACGCUAAUACCGCAUACGACCUACGGGUGAAAGCAGGGGAUCUUCGGACCUUGCGCGAUUGAAUGAGCCGAUGUCGGAUUAGCUAGUUGGCGGGGUAAAGGCCCACCAAGGCGACGAUCCGUAGCUGGUCUGAGAGGAUGAUCAGCCACACUGGAACUGAGACACGGUCCAGACUCCUACGGGAGGCAGCAGUGGGGAAUAUUGGACAAUGGGCGCAAGCCUGAUCCAGCCAUACCGCGUGGGUGAAGAAGGCCUUCGGGUUGUAAAGCCCUUUUGUUGGGAAAGAAAAGCAGCAGGUUAAUACCCCGCUGUUCUGACGGUACCCAAAGAAUAAGCACCGGCUAACUUCGUG